rnacentral:rRNA from 1 species
UUCGGACCUAUCGCGAUUGGAUGCGCCCAGGUGGGAUUAGCUAGUUGGUGAGGUAACGGCUCACCAAGGCGACGAUCUCUAGCUGGUCUGAGAGGAUGACCAGCCACACUGGAACUGAGACACGGCCCAGACUCCUACGGGAGGCAGCAGUGGGGAAUAUUGCACAAUGGGGGAAACCCUGAUGGAGCAACGCCGCGUGAGUGAAGAAGGCCUUCGGGUUGUAAAGCACUUUCAGUCAGGAGGAAAGGUGGCUAGCUAAUAUCUAGUUGCUGUGACGUUACUGACAGAAGAAGCAACGGCUAACUACGUGCCAGCAGCCGCGGUAAUACGUAGGUUGCAAGCGUUAACCGGAAUUAUUGGGCGUAAAGCGCACGCAGGCGGCUUGUUAAGUCAGAUGUGAAAGCCCCGGGCUCAACCUGGGAACUGCAUUUGAAACUGACAAGCUAGAGUCUUGUAGAGGGGGGUAGAAUUCCAAGUGUAGCGGUGAAAUGCGUAUAGAUUUGGAGGAAUACCGGUGGCGAAGGCGGCCCCCUGGACAGAGACUGACGCUCAGGUGCGAAAGCGUGGGGAGCAAACAGGAUUAGAUACCCUGGUAGUCCACGCCGUAAACGAU